UGGUGAGUAAGUCUUGCCCGAAAGGAUGAGGCCUGUGGAGACAGGAUGGGAGCGAGUAGGGCAAGGUUCACCA
rnacentral:sRNA from 12 species